AGUUUAUUAAUAGUAUAUUUUGUGUUCAAUAUAUAGACCACAGUAAGAUUUUAUUAAUAGUAAGAGUUUAGUUUAUUAAUAUUUGACUUAACAUCUUUGCCUUAGUUGUAUAUGUGGUUGUUUUCUUAGAGCUCAGGCUACUGGCAAUUACUUGUAUAGUUCUGUGUUUUUGGUAACAUAACAGUAUAUUUCCUUAAUGCAUUUGCUGCCAUAUGAAUUUAGAAUAUACACUUAUAAGUAUAUAGUACCAAUAUGACGAUUCAUUAAUCC